rnacentral:rRNA from 1 species
GAAUCUUAGACAAUGGGCGCAAGCCUGAUCUAGCCAUGCCGCGUGAGUGAUGAAGGCCUUAGGGUCGUAAAGCUCUUUCGCCAGAGAUGAUAAUGACAGUAUCUGGUAAAGAAACCCCGGCUAACUCCGUGCCAGCAGCCGCGGUAAUACGGAGGGGGUUAGCGUUGUUCGGAAUUCAUGGGCGUAAAGCGCACGUAGGCGGAUCAGAAAGUUGGGGGUGAAAUCCCGGGGCUCAACCCCGGAACGGCCUCCAAAACUCCUGGUCUUGAGUUCGAGAGAGGUGAGUGGAAUUCCGAGUGUAGAGGUGAAAUUCGUAGAUAUUCGGAGGAACACCAGUGGCGAAGGCGGCUCACUGGCCCGCAACUGACGCUGAGGUGCGAAAGCGUGGGGAGCAUACAGG